UGAGAAAAAAAGCAAAGGAAGUUGGGGGAGAUCAGUGGGGAACACUGGAAUGAUCAGAAGUCUGUCAUGCUCCAUAUAAGGCAGCUUAUUUUUUAAUUAAAAGGAAAACGUUAGUGUCUCACCAGCUGCUUUGGUCAUGAGCAAGUGAAAUUCUGCAGCCAAUCGUGCUCCCUCAGGACCAAGAGGGUGUUACAGGAAAAGCAAGAACCAGUUCUGGCCUCUUGGAGGAACAAGACCCUACUGCCAUGGAGCACCCCGAAGUGAAGCAAUUGAGAAAGUGUCCAUUAUCAAAACUGUGACCUUAAACAUCAGCACUGGGGGCUCUCACUGCAGCAUUCCUACAGACAGGCUACAUCCUGCACGGAAACUGGGGAAGGAGAAGGAUGCAGGUUCUUCUGGGGAAUCACAGCUGGAGUGUAAAAUGGCAGAAAAGCUCUGAGCACAGGGACCUCCUGCAAUCCAGAGAAUUAUUCUAAAGGUUUGUGCACUGACAUUAGGGUAAAACUCCUGUUGUGUUUUCAUCUGCACCUGGGGAGGGGAGUGUCCAAGGGAAGGACAGAGCUUCCCAGGCCAGUGCAGGAGGAUUCCCUUUGGCACAGCCAUGGGGCCCAGACCAGCAGCGCAGGCACAGGCGGAUCACAAGGGUAGCAGUUCCGGAUCCUGCCGCAUGAAGCACAGGCAGGGAAGCACUUUGGGAAUGUGCCCAGUUAAUGUGUGUGCAUUUCCCAACUAUUCAAACAUCCAGCUCCAUGCUGGUGUGUUUCCUUGCUUCCCUGCAUCUUGGAGCUAUUGACUGAUGUAUAAAAUAGAGUUUUCUAGUUUUUUACUCUCCUCCCAUACCUGCAGCCCAGGGGCUCGAGGGAAGUUAGAGACCUUGCCUUGAGCCCAGGAAGAUUCCAGCUGGGAGCAGUGGCAAUACCUGAUCAUUGUGCUAAGCUCAGGAAGCAGCAGGAAUGGAGGAAAACAAGCCAGAUGUGAAAACUUUCCCUGUUUUUUUAAAUAACGAUUCCAUAUGAAAGCGCCGCAGGCUCUGGCGCCGCUGGCACGACCCGCUGGUGAUCUGAGCCAGAAGUGAUGAAAGCACAACUCAUUGCAAGAGUCAACAGUUUCACUGCUCUUGUGCAAUGGAAAUUGGAGGAGAGUCAGGAUUUCGGGAGGCCAGUCUCAGGUAGCAUGGCACAUUUCAUUCCAAACUUUGAAUAUUGGGAUAAAGAUCUCAAAAUGGAUUCUGGAAUUAAAUGGAUUCUGAAAUUAGUGCUGGAGGUAGAUCAUAGAAUUGCAGAAUCCCAGCAUGGUUUGGGUUGGAAGGGACCUUAAAGCUCAUCCAGUCCCACCCCCUGCCAUGGGCAGGGACACCUUCCACUAGUCCAGGUUGAUCCAAGCCCCAUCCAACCUGGCCUUGGACACUUCCAGGGAUGGGGCAGCCACAGCUUCUCUGGGCAACCUGUGCCAGGGCCUCACCACCCUCACAGGGAAAAAUUUCUCCCCAAUACCCCAAUUAACCCUGCCCUUUCUCAGCGUGAAGCCAUCCCCCUUGUCCUGGCACUUCAGGCCCUUCUAAAUAGUCUCUAUCCACCUUUCUUCUCGGUUCCCCUCACACACUGGGAGGCCACUGGUGAGAUGAGCUGCUCUGGUCUGUAUUCCCUGGAACAUUUCCAUGGUGACUUUGGAAAUUUUAGUAUCAGGAGUUACCUCCACAACUGAAGGGAUCAGACACUGUGUGUGAAUGGGCACUGAGGGGGGAAAGGACGAAAAAAAGAGCAGGGCUGGGCUCUUUGUGGUGCUUCCUGGUGCUUCUGGAUUCACCUGCCACUGAGCACGUGGACCCAGGAGCAGCAGGACUGUGGUGUGGGGCCCUUGGGUCACUGGCAGAGCUGAUCUGCCAUCGGCUGUGCCCUGAACAGUGUCAGCCAGGCUCGUGGGGGCUAGGAAGUGGCACUUCUUACUGCCAAUGCAGUUCAUAAUUGCCUCCUCUGCCUUGUUGAUGCCCAGCUGGAACUUGUGCUGGUCCGGGCGGAGCCUCCGGCCUCGAUGGUAAAACACCAGCGCGAACUCGAAGUCCCCCAUGGUGUAGAGGGUCUCUGCCUUUUGGUAAAGCCCCUGAAAUGACAUUUGGGAAAAGAAAUUAUUAAAAAGAGGGGAAAAAAGUUUCAUGGAUCUCAAGUAACUCCUGACAGGCAGAAGGGAGAACCCAGGGGUGUCACAACCUGAGUACAACAAACCCCAGUCCUGGAGCUGACUGAGCCCCUCCACUGCUCCAAGAGCAGCAGAAACCUCAGGAGUGUUUGGAGUGAGCUGUUCCCUCCCAGCUCUGCCUCAGACCCUGCAGGGUCUCACAGAUCCAGGCCAGCCCUGUCCCCCUGCUCUCACCACUUCCUCUGGUUACCUCGGUGAACGCUUUGUCUCUUUGGAGCGAGGCUUCAGCAUCCUUCAAGGAGUUUUCUGUGUCCCCAAGUUUCAGGAAGCAUUUGGAGCGGGUGAUAAGGCACUGCUUGUCCCCUGCCCUCAGCUUCAGUGCCUGGAACCACAGACAUGGACACGUCACCAGUGCUGGCUCAACACCACAAAUACACAAGUGCAGGUAUUUGGUGCCACCUGCACAGUCGCCACAUGGAUCUUGAUGACACAUGAUGAUAAAACCACAGGAUUUUUAUUGAAAAGAGCCUUCCCUUGCAGUUCACAGGUUCCCUGUGCUGCAGGGGCUGCCCUGCCUGGGUCACCCCCUGGUGCCGAGACCUCCUGGGGACACGUCCCUCCGAGCCACCUCCCCUCGCCUCGGGUGCCACGUUCCCUCCGCUGCCUCUUCCCCCUCCUGAACCGAGUCGCGGCCGCUCCCUCUCGAGGCCCGUCCCACCCCGGGCCGCUCGGUGUCCCUGGGCUGCGCCCCCGCCGCGGCGCCCUCACAUUGUUGAAGCAGCCCAGCGCCUUGUGGUGCUGCCCGCGCCGGCUUAGCGUUGUCCCCUCGGUGAUGAGGCUGCCGAAGGUGACGAUGGGCCCGGGGUCUGGGUCCGCCAUGGCCGCGCCGCGCCGCCGUUGCCGGGCAACGGCCCCGCUUCCGGUGGAGGCCCCGCCCCCAGAGUGACGUCAGGCGCGCCCGGUCAGUGCCCACGUGGGUCCCGGUGCCCCGGGAGCGGCCCCGGUACCGACCCCGCACCCCGGCCCGGCACGCCGGCCCUCGCUGCUGGGCACGCGCGUCCGCAGGCCGUGCCCGGGGCUGCCGGCGGGUGCUCGCGGUGUCUCUGUCCCGUCCCGACCCGGUGCCCGUGCGGUUCUGUUCUUCCACCCGCGUUCCCGGAGUCCUGCGCGGCCCCGGUGUAGCCGCGGUGCCGAACGCCGGGCAGAGCCGGUUCCUCUGCUCCGCCGGCUCACUGCCGGUGCCUCCUGCAGCGGCAGCACGAGGGGCAGCCGCCGCUCCCCUGCCAUCGGUUAUUCGGGACCGUUUGGCGCUCGCGGGUGGCCCCGAUACCGGUUUCGCCGCUGCAGUGGCCAGUCCUGGCCAAAUAAAUGACUAACGGGAGA